rnacentral:lncRNA from 1 species
AUUACUACGUGAGAUAUUGCCCCUAAAGGUGCCACACUGGCGAUUCUCAAUACUAGUAGAGCUGUUGUGCUCCUAUCUAUUUUCAAAACACUAUUUGCAACAGUCUCAGUAGGUACAUUAUCAUUAACAAAACAUGUUUUGCUGCCUUAUCUACAUUUUGCUGCGCAUGUGAUAUGGGAACCAUGCGUUGAGGUUGUUGUUCCCAUUUGAUCUGCCAGCAACUGGUUUGAUACAAAAGGUGGUGGAUUAACAAAAAUUUGCAACCUAUCAGCAAGUCGCAUCCUACUUCCUAGCUUUGCAAGUUGAUCUGCUAUCCCAUUUUGUUCUCUCUACACAUGUCGAACUACUGGAUCAUAUAGCAUGUUGUAACCUAGAGCUGAAGUUUUUGUAUUGUAACUGAGAAACUUCAGCUCUAAGCUAGCUUGAUAUUUCUAAGCUAGCUUCAAAUUGAUAUUUCGUUAGAUAGCUGCUAUAACUUUGGUGAUUCUCGUUGAGAUUUUGUCAUAAAGUAUUUGUUUAUGCUUAUGAAUAAUUUAUCUGGCAGUAAUAGCCUGUUGCAGUUUGCUGGAAGCCAUCCAACUCAUCGUUUCUCAUUAUCAUAUAUCACUAUUUUGUUCAAUAGAGAAAUAUCUGUAGAUGAAAAAAACGUCAGAAAGAGAAAGGUUAAAUGCACAAAGAACUUGGAUACCAACUCUUAUUAAAAUGUAGUUCCCCUUUAGUAUUUAUGCAGAUAAAGAACUGCAUUUUCUCUUCACUUUAUUGAUACUAUUAUUCCAUCGUUAUUUAUAAAAGUUAAAACACAACCUUGCUUUCUUCUGGUGAGGUACUGAAGGGGAGGAGAAAGGAAGCUGAAAUUGUUUAAAAAGUGGGUACAAGUUAUAAGUUUAAAAAAAAAUAGGUAUAGGUUAAAUGGGGACGACCAAAUACAAUGCCCCGUGCAAUUUAUACGUCAUUUUUUAACAAGCUAGUGUCGAUAUCAUCCAUUAGGUGUAGGAAAAUGUUAGAAUGGUUUUUAGUGGGCUGCUCUUGUGGGUUUGGGUAGUUGCAGUGUAAGUGGGCCUUAGUUGGCCCAUUAGGUUGAGAAAACUUACCUGUUGCAGCCGGUGGCGUCGUAGCUUCCACCUCCCUUGCUAUCCUCGCUGUUGAAGUCGCAUUAUUAGUUACACGGAGUUGUGUCCUCCGGUGGAAUUGAACCGUUUGCCAUUCCAUUUGUUGAUGCUUGACAGACGACAGUAGGGUGUUGAGUAGAAAAAGUAGGUGUGUUAUUAGUAACCGAUGUAGAGAUAGUUAGUGAUUUUUGGAAUGAACAGUUUAAAGAAGCAUGGCCAAAUCGUCCGCAGUCAGUACAAAGGAGAGUAAGCCCUUCGUAUAGGAUGGUUGGUUUGUGGUUGCCAAUACUAAAGUAUGUUUUUAGUGGCUUCUCGAGAGGUACCUCAAUGCAUAUGCGAGGGGGUGUAAAGACGUGAUUUAUCAUCAGUGGUUAGAGGUAUGAAAAUAUCUUCUUCAGUGUCAGUGUUUGUUGUUUCAUCAGAGAGAUCAAUAACUGUUUGAUGUGGAAGGUAGUUGUCAGAGUUGAUCAGUGAGGAGUUGUUUGUAAUUAGUGUUUGAAG